GCCUCCUUUGUGGCUGCCUGGAU
rnacentral:siRNA from 1 species